GCAGUUGUGGAGAUAAGCUGUGUAAGGCCAGCUACAAUAGCUCCUGGAGUAAUAUCAUCCACUCCUGGACUGAAGAGCUCAGACCUAUUUCAGUGGAAACUACACCAACCACCCCUACAAGUCAUGAUGCACCUGUGGAGACUGUCCUGGUGCCUGUGAUAGGAGACUGUGCACCAGCCCCUGCCUCUAUGCUAAUAAGUACACCAACUGUGCUGCACACGGCCAAGCAGCCGGGGCUGCAGCAACAGUCAUGUCACCUCCUGGUGUCCUGUCUCCUGCAGGACUAAUCAGACGGUCUGAUCAGCCAGAGUCAUGUUCUGACCAAUCAUCCUGAUAGACAACAACAAUCAUCCUGAUAGACAACAACAAUCAUCCUGAUAGACAACAACAAUCAUCCUGAUAGACAACAACAAUCAUCCUGAUAGACAACAACAAUCAUCCUGAUAGACAACAACAAUCAUCCUGAUAGACAACAACAAUCAUCCUGAUAGACAACAACAAUCAUCCUGAUAGACAACAACAAUCAUCCUGAUAGACAACAACAAUCAUCCUGAUAGACAACAACAAUCAUCCUGAUAGACAACAACAAUCAUCCUGAUAGACAACAACAAUCAUCCUGAUAGACAACAACAAUCAUCCUGAUAGACAACAACAAUCUCCUAAUAAACCUGGUCAUGACUAAGGUGUCCUUCGUCCUGCAAUAAAUAAUCAUCCUUUGGUUAAGUUGUAAAAUGCAAUUAAGGGACAAUACUUACUCUUUCCCUUUCAGGUUUGUGGCUGCUUCUCUGCUAGUCGUAUAAUGAAAGCAAUUUCUAAACUGUUCUCAGGUGAUGUAGGGCAAAGAACCUAUGGUAAAUUCUCCCCUGGCACCCAAUGAUCUUGGCAAAACAGUACGCACAGGGACAAAACUGAUGACUUUAUCUGAGGUGUUAGGU